rnacentral:snoRNA from 1 species
AACUCCUGUUUCUGCCCCGUGUUCUGCGUACGCGAUAGAACACGCUGGUUCUGAUGAUGGAGGAGAGCAGGCCCGCUGGCGGCCGCCGCCGACUUGAUACUUCAGCGGACGGCGGCCGGCGGGAUCGUUCCGGGGCAAGCACCCAUCUGUCGGCCGCGUGCGGCAGACGAUGCUAGUCCCGGAUACAUCU